rnacentral:lncRNA from 1 species
UGCCAUACCUAUAAUGCUUAAAUCAUGCAUAUAACUAACUUGAUAUAUAAAUGAAUGUAAUAACAAAUAAUAAUAGUGAAAAAUAAAUAAAUAUUAAUGAAUAGAAUUAUAUUACAUAUCAUUAUUGUAAGAGAAGAUUCAAUAAAGAAUAUAAAUCUACUCAUCAAUAUCCAUAUCCUUCUUAAUUUGUAGGUCCUCCUCUGAAUCACAAUAAUUGACUAAUAUAUCAUCUUCUAUCUCAUUGUCAUUUACGAACUGAUCGUCGCCCUCCAAAUCAUUAAGAUUAAAUACAAAAUCAACUUCAACUUCAUUGGACG